rnacentral:rRNA from 1 species
AUUGAACGCUGGCGGCAGGCCUAACACAUGCAAGUCGAACGAGUGGCAGACGGGUGAGUAAUGUCUGUGAACCUGCCUGAUGGAGGGGGAUAACUACUGGAACCGGUAGCUAAUACCGCAUACCAUGGGAUGUGCCCAGAUGGGCUUAGCUAGUAGGUGGGGUAAAGGCUCACCUAGGCGACGAUCCCUAGCUGGUCUGAGAGGAUGAACAGCCACACUGGGACUGAGACACGGCCCAGACUCCUACGGGAGGCAGCAGUGGGGAAUAUUGCACAAUGGGCGAAAGUCUGAUGCAGCCACGCCGCGUGUAUGAAGAAGGCUUUCGGGUUGUAAAGUACUUUCAGCGGGGAGGCGUUACCCGAAGAAGAAGCAACGGCUAACUCCGUGCCAGCCGCCGCGGUAAUAC